rnacentral:rRNA from 1 species
UACGUAGGGACCAAGCGUUGCUCGGAUUUACUGGGCGUAAAGGGCGCGUAGGCGGCAAUUCAAGUCAUCUGUGAAAUCUCCGGGCUUAACUCGGAACGGUCAGAUGAUACUGCUUUGCUAGAGUGCGGAAGGGGCAAUCGGAAUUCUUGGUGUAGCGGUGAAAUGCGUAGAUAUCAAGAGGAACACCUGAGGUGAAGACGGGUUGCUGGGCCGACACUGACGCUGAGUGCGCGAAAGCCAGGGGAGCAAACGGG